rnacentral:piRNA from 1 species
UAAAAGAUGACAGAAGCCCACAUUACCAG